rnacentral:rRNA from 1 species
CUUGGGCGGCUACCAUGCAAGUCGAACGGUAGCACAGAGAGCUUGCUCUUGGGUGACGAGUGGCGGACGGGUGAGUAAUGUCUGGGGAUCUGCCUGACAAAGGGGGAUAACUACUGGAAACGGUAGCUAAUACCGCAUAACCUCGCAAGAGCAAAGAGGGGGACCUUCGGGCCUCUCGCUGUCAGAUGAACCCAGAUGGGAUUAGCUAGUAGGUGGGGUAAUGGGUCACCUAGGCGACAAUCCCUAGCUGGUCUGAGAGGAUGACCAGCCACACUGGAACUGAGACACGGUCCAGACUCCUACGGGAGGCAGCAGUGGGGAAUAUUGCACAAUGGGCGCAAGCCUGAUGCACCCAUGCCGCGUGUAUGAAGAAGGCCUUCGGGUUGUAAAGUACUUUCUCCGGGGAGGAAGGUGUUGAGGUUAAUAACCUCACCAAUUGACGUUACCCGCAGAAAAAACACCGGCUAACUCCGUGCCACCAGCCGCGGUAAUACGGAGGGUGCAAGCGUUAAUCGGAAUUACUGGGCGUAUAGCGCACGCAGGCGGUCUGUCUAGUCACAUGUGAAAUCCCCGGGCUUAACCUGGGAACUGCGUUUGAAACUGUGAAGCUAGAGUCUUGUAGAGGGGGGUAGAAUUCCAGGUGUAGCGCUGAAAUGCGUAUAGAUCUGGAGGAUUACCGGUGGCGAAAGCGGCCCCCUGGACAAAGACUGACGCUCUUGUGCGAAAGCGUGUGGGAGCAAACAGGAUUAUAUACACUGGUAAUCCACGCCUUAAACCAUGUCUACUUUGAGGUUGUUCUCCUUGAGGAGUGUCUUCCCAUCUUUCUCGUUUUUCGACCGCCUGGUGAGUACUGGCGCUGGUGAUACUCAAUUAAUUGUCUGGGACUCGCACAGCUUGGAAAUGGGUUUUAUUCUAUGUAAUUCGAGAACUUUCUCCUCUGUCAUUUCCGACUUCG